rnacentral:lncRNA from 1 species
UAUACCUUUGCUAAUGUUUAUUUUAAAUUUUGAAACAAUAAGGAAGUUCAGAAACAGACACAGGAUUAAGCAAUAUUUGGAUUUUUUUUCUCUUCUUAUCUUAUGGGACUUACCUGUCUCCUAGAGCAGUUACAUUUUCUCUUCGAAACCAUUCUUUCCCUUGUAUUCUUUUGCGAUUUCUUCCUCAUUACAUUACUUCAAUAUUCUUUCCCCAGAAGACUUUAAGAAACAGAUACCAUUUGACAGUUUUACUCAUGGGAAUACCAUAUAUUUUGCAUAGUGCUCAUGUAACUUAAUGUGCAGGUAUUUUGACCAGGUUUUAUGUAUUUUUUCCAAAACAAAACCUAACAAAUCCAAAUAUUGACUAAUAAAAUGACUGAAUUUGUGUGUGAUUUGUCAGCUGGAGCCCAAAGGGGGCAGCAGAGAGCUAACCAGGAGUUAGACAUGGUGAAAACCUCUAACUACUCUAAGCAUCCUGCUUUCAUUUUCCCUCUGAGAUGUAGGAGUUGGAGUAAGCAAUCCCUAGAGCUUCUUAUAGUCCUCAAAUUCUCUGUAUAAGUUUUGAAUAAAAAUUUUGCACUGAUUUAGGCUCUGGGGACAGAACAGAGAAUGAAAAACCCAAUGAUCCUCCACUCUUGAAGCUUGUCUUCCAGUGGGGUCCUUGCGCUGAAUAGGGAUUCUAUGCCUGUCACAGUGACCUGGAGGGUGCGGGCAGUGGGCACUUCAGGCCUGGGUGGGAAGUCAGGC